GAGCCGCAGCCCCGAGCCCGGUCGCCUCACUUGGCGGACGUGAGGCCUGUAGUAAAGAGUAAAGCCUGAGGUAGAUUACCCCUCCCAUCGAGCACCUUAGUUUCCUGCUUACCGCGUAAGCAACCCGCUCAACAAUAUAGUCUGCCUGGCAACUGAUGAUGUUAGCCAAUCAGCUUGCCUUGCUCACUUUAACAUGAUUGGACACUGUAUCCGUAUAUAUACUGGUGCCACCCCUGGGGGGGAAGAAGAAGCCCGGAAGUAGAAGCCCAGAAGGAGCCGCGGGGAGCGGACCAAAGGAGGCUUCGGCUGGGAGCGAUCCCAGGGCAGGCUGUACGGAGAAGAAAAAUAAAAGAAAAGGUUGUCCACUGCCAGACUUUGUCGUGUGUCCUUCCUGCCGGCCAGGAGCGACAUCGACAUUUGGAGGCCCGCACGGGGACUGAUCACCCCCGAGACGUGACAGCGGACAACGCUCCAGUACAGAGCUGCGAGACAGGAAUCGGGACGAGAACCACUGUGGGUACCGGAGAGACUGACACGGGCGACAAAGCCCUCGACUGAAGAUCAGACCUGCCCUACCGGAGAUCCAUCACAGACCAACCAACAAGAUGAAUAAAAAUAGCGGUAGCCCAAAAUGGACAAGAAGAUCCUCAGGCAUAUGCAUGGCUCGCUCGCCUAGCCUACGACCGAGUCUAGGGGUGGUGAGCUUCCCACACUCCUCCUCUAAAAAAUUAUGACAUAGCUGGGUAGGAGAGUCAAUGACGGGUAAGAGCGUACUCCCCCGGUGCGACUCAACCUAAGCCAGGCCCUACCCCAUCCUGCACGUAAGCCGCUGGACUGUUAGAUGCUGCCCAGGUCUAAAUUUCUCUCCGAGGGGAUUUCUUUACGGAGAGGAAAUGAGUGCAAGCUUGUGUGCAUCCAGGUUCCGUCCAGUUUGUGCCUGGCCCUAGAAAAAGGACGAGGGCCUCAGGGCCUUGGCAGACCAUGGGACGGCCGACCAGGGUCUAAGCCAAGGACCUACGGUGGGCCUACGCAUAGGGCAUAAGCCUCUGCACCCAGUCCAGAAAGGGCUACGAUGCGCACAUUCAUAAAAAAUAAAAAAGGGGGAGAUGUUGGGAGCCGCAGCCCGAGCCCGGUCGCCUCACUUGGCGGACGUGAGGCCUGUAGUAAAGAGUAAAGCCUGAGGUAGAUUACCCCUCCCAUCGAGCACGUUAGUUUCCUGCUUACCGCGUAAGCAACCCGCUCAACAAUAUAGUCUGCCUGGCAACUGAUGAUGUUAGCCAAUCAGCUUGCCUUGCUCACUUUAACAUGAUUGGACACUGUAUCCGUAUAUAUACUGGUGCCACCCCUGGGGGGGAAGAAGAAGCCCGGAAGUAGAAGCCCAGAAGGAGCCGCGGGGAGCGGACCAAAGGAGGCUUCGGCUGGGAGCGAUCCCAGGGCAGGCUGUACGGAGAAGGAAAAUAAAAGAAAAGGUUGUCCACUGCCA